UACGUAGGUGGCAAGCGUUGUCCGGAUUUACUGGGCGUAAAGAGCGCGCAGGCGGUCGUGCAAGUCGCGUGUGAAAGCCCCCGGCUCAACUGGGGGAGGGUCACGCGAUACUGAUCGACUCGAAGGCAGGAGAGGGUAGUGGAAUUCCCCGGUGUAGUGGUGAAAAUGCGUAGAUAUCGGGAGGAACACCAGUGGCGAAGGCGCUACCUGGCCUGUUUCUUGACGCU
rnacentral:rRNA from 1 species